UACGCAGGGUGCAAGCGUUAAUCGGAAUUACUGGGCGUAAAGCGUGCGCAGGCGGCUUUGCAAGACAGAUGUGAAAUCCCCGGGCUCAACCUGGGAACUGCAUUUGUGACUGCAUGGCUGGAGUGCGGCAGAGGGGGAUGGAAUUCCGCGUGUAGCAGUGAAAUGCGUAGAUAUGCGGAGGAACACCGAUGGCGAAGGCAAUCCCCUGGGCCUGCACUGACGCUCAUGCACGAAAGCGUGGGGAGCAAACAGG
rnacentral:rRNA from 1 species